rnacentral:rRNA from 1 species
AGUGAACGCUGGCGGUAGGCCUAACACAUGCAAGUCGAACGGCAGCACAGUAAGAGCUUGCUCUUACGGGUGGCGAGUGGCGGACGGGUGAGGAAUACAUCGGAAUCUACUUUUUCGUGGGGGAUAACGUAGGGAAACUUACGCUAAUACCGCAUACGACCUACGGGUGAAAGCAGGGGAUCUUCGGACCUUGCGCGAUUGAAUGAGCCGAUGGCGGAUUAGCUAGUUGGCGGGGUAAAGGCCCACCAAGGCGACGAUCCGUAGCUGGUCUGAGAGGAUGAUCAGCCACACUGGGACUGAGACACGGUCCAGACUCCUACGGGAGGCAGCAGUGGGGAAUAUUGGACAAUGGGCGCAAGCCUGAUCCAGCCAUACCGCGUGGGUGAAGAAGGCCUGCGGGUUGUAAAGCCCUUUUGUUGGGAAAGAAAAGCAGCAGGUUAAUACCCCGCUGUUCUGACGGUACCCAAAGAAUAAGCACCGGCUAACUUCGUG